UUGCGUAUUUGCGAGGCGGCGUCGCGUCGGCGCGUUUCUGCCGCGCCCGAGGUGCGUGGAAGCGCCAGAUUGCGAGGGCGGUGUCGGUGGUGGUAGGAGCAGCAGCAGCAGCAGCAACAGCAGCAGCAGCAGCAGCAGCAGGACGUUUUCGAGGCUUCGUGCCUCUCCUCCUUGCUUGCUCGCUCGCACGCUACUACUCCUCGUCUCGUCCUCGGCGAGACGACGUGUUCGUUUCUUCUAUUUUUAUCGUCGUCGUCAUCGUCGUCGUCGUCGUCGUCGUCGUCGUCGUCGUUGUUGUCGUCGUCGUCGUUGUGGUUGUCGUUGUCGUUGUCAUUGUCGUUGUCGUCGUCGUAGUCUUCGUUUACGUCAAAUUCGCUUUUCAUCGUCCUCGUUAAAAAUACGAAUUUGUUACACAUACAUACAGACAUAUAUAUAUAUAUAUAUAUAUAUAUAUAUAUAUAUAUAUGUAUAUAUAGUAUAUAUUGUUUGGAGGAGAUCAAAAGAGAAAAGGGAAGAAAAACAGGGGUAGUAGUGCCGGACGGUUCUCGUUGUCGAUGUCGUCGCGUAUCAUCGCGCUUCGUGCACGUUCGUCGCUCGCGCCACACUCGAGAACGCGUCGUCGUCGUCGUCGUCGCGAGAAAGCCGCCCCUUCGCACGGUGCACGGUGCGACACUCGACAGUCGUCUCGACGCCACGAACGAGCGCGCUUCUUCUUCUUCUUUGCUGCCGCUUCCUCUUACAAUUCUUCUAGAUUUUGUUCUUCCACUGCAACAGCCGUCGCGCAAGAAUCGUCGCAAGAAUCGCCGACAAGGUGUCAUUCCAUUUUGAGCCAACGGUCGAGCAUAGAUAACAACAGAAGGAAAAACAGAAGUUCUAGUAAUAUUAACGGAAACAACGCAUUACCCAAAGUCUAUCGUGUCGCGUUUUCAUAUUUAAUUUUUAUUUGAUACUUUAUUCUUCUUAUUCUUAUUCUUCUUUAUUGCGUGACACACGCGCGCGUGUCGAUGCUCUCCCACUAUUACCACUACUACUGCUACUACUACUACUACAAUUAUCACCACCACCAUCUCCAGCUGCCACCGUUGGAAGCUCGUUGCCGCGGCAGGAGGCAGCACAGCUCCACGCAGAACACCCUUCUACACGGUGGAAUUUAAGGUUAUAAUCUCGACGCGUUUUACCCUUACGCGUUGAUACGUCCAUCUCGUCGUUUGGGUUCUUCUACCCGCUGUUGUCGCCCACCACGUCGACAACGUCGUCGUCGUCGUCGUCGUAGUGGACAUCACACAGCGUAUCUACAAGUAACCGUCCACUCACGACAUUUUCGAACGUUCUCGCGGCAACACGGCUUAAGUCCGAGCACUGAAGGGUCUGGAGGGCACGAAGGCGAGAAGAAAUGAGGUGGACGUGACACAAUGACAUGAUGAAGAGCCUGGUGGGGAUCAUGUGGAUAGUGUUGGUGCUCAUAUCAGGAUGCUCAGGAAAUCCAGACGCAAAGCGACUUUACGACGAUCUCCUCUCGAAUUACAACAAACUGGUACGUCCAGUGGUAAACGUCACGGAUGCCCUCACCGUCAAGAUCAAGCUCAAACUCUCACAGCUCAUCGACGUGAACUUGAAGAAUCAGAUUAUGACGACGAAUCUUUGGGUCGAGCAGUCAUGGUACGAUUACAAAUUAAAAUGGGAUCCGAAGGAGUACGGUGGAGUGGAAAUGUUGCACGUGCCAUCCGAUCAUAUAUGGAGACCAGAUAUAGUUUUAUACAACAACGCCGACGGUAACUUCGAGGUAACACUGGCAACGAAGGCAACAUUAAAUUAUACAGGGAGAGUCGAGUGGAAGCCACCGGCGAUUUACAAGUCUUCCUGCGAGAUCGACGUCGAGUAUUUCCCUUUUGACGAGCAGACCUGUGUUAUGAAAUUUGGAUCGUGGACCUACGACGGCUUCCAGGUCGACCUUAGACACAUCGACGAGAUCCGUGGCAGUAACGUCGUCGACAUUGGCGUCGAUCUGUCGGAAUUUUAUACUUCCGUCGAGUGGGACAUACUCGAAGUUCCUGCUGUUAGAAACGAGAAGUUCUACACGUGCUGCGACGAGCCCUAUCUCGAUAUCACGUUCAACAUUACGAUGAGGCGAAAGACUCUCUUUUACACGGUCAAUCUUAUAAUACCGUGUAUGGGUAUAUCGUUUCUCACGGUACUGGUCUUCUAUUUACCGAGUGACAGCGGUGAAAAGGUCAGCCUAUCCAUCUCAAUUCUACUAUCGUUGACUGUGUUCUUCCUUCUUCUGGCUGAAAUCAUCCCACCCACGUCGCUAGUUGUACCGCUUCUUGGUAAAUUCGUCCUUUUCACCAUGAUCCUAGAUACUUUCAGCAUAUGCAUCACAGUGGUAGUACUCAACGUUCACUUCCGUUCGCCACAGACUCACGUGAUGGCACCGUGGGUCCGCCGUGUCUUUAUCCAUGUCUUACCAAGAUUACUCGUGAUGCGCAGGUAUAAUACGACUUCGAAGAGAACCGAUUACGAUUCCAGGCCGCAGUAUCAAAUAGAUAAACGUAGUAUAGGCGGACAACAUGGACAACGGGUGAUGGUCAGAACAUGCAAUGGUCUUGAAUUGAGAGAUCCGUCUCUAUUCGUUGAAACUUCGGCUUCGGAGUUGGUUGAAUCUUCUGUUCUCUUUCCGAGUUUAGAUUCGCAAGACGAACUGCAUCCUCGUGAAUUAGAAGCGGUAAAUUUAGGAAGUGCGUGUCGUAUUCACGGCUCGCCUGCAGCCACUGUGGCACCACCACCUCAGCUCCCAACGGAGGAAAGCGUUGAUGCUCUCUGCAACACGCUUCAUCACUGGCAUCACUGCCCAGAACUGUACAAGGCCAUUGAAGGCAUUCGUUUUAUCGCCGAGCACACGAAAAGAGAAGAGGACUCUACCAGAGUCAAAGAAGAUUGGAAAUACGUUGCGAUGGUGCUCGAUAGGCUAUUCUUGUGGAUUUUUACAUUAGCCGUGGUCGUCGGUACGGCGGGUAUAAUAUUACAAGCGCCGACUUUGUACGAUGAUCGCAUUCCUAUCGACGUACGACUCUCCGAGAUCGCCUCCACCACUGCCAAGCCACACAUCGUUUCAAGCCUCUGAGGGCCAAUUGCUAAUUAUCCCGUUACUCUCGCGUAUACCUAUGAACACAAAAGACAUACCCAUUGUAAACAUAACAAUGUGUCAGAAGUAACGACUGAAAGACUGAAGUCUCGGUGAGUCUUCGACUUUUAUUAACGAUUAAUUCUUCGGCUCGUACGUUCAAUCGUAUAUGUUUACACAUACGACAUAUAUGUAUGUGUACGUAUGUACGCGCGUACGUGUACGACGAGCGAAGAGGAAUAGGGGGAAAAAAAAAAGUAAAAUUAAAUAAAAUAAGAAAGCAAAAGACGCGCGCGUACCAAAGCUUUCAACCCGUGACACAACGAAGAUAAAAAAGGGAGUUCGAAGGGUUGUGAGAAGAGAGCCGUGCGAUAAAAUUCUCAGAGUUUGGAAAAAUGUGAGACUUUUUCUUCUUAAUCUUUCCUUUUUUUUCUUUCUUUCUUUCUCUCUUUCUUUCUUUCUUUCUUUCUUUUGUUUUCUUUAAUUUUACAUACAAAUUUUUAGUUUUUACAUCAAAACGACUCGAAUAACUUAGGAAUAUAUUUAUACAUAGAGCCAAUAUCGUCCUCCAUUAUAUUGUAAUAUCUCCUUUGUAUGAUGUUAUCUCUGAGAAUUGUGUCAUGGGUACAGCGACGUGUGUGUGUGUGUGUGUGUAUAAGAAAGGAGAACGUUUAGCAACAAAACAAGUAUUUAUUCGCCGCACCGUUCGACGCAAGCACGGCCUCUCUUUUCGGGGACCGUAAUAUGUUGCGUAUAGAAAGUCACGAUGACGUUUAAUAAAGGUAAUAAAUAAAUUAAAAAAAUAAAUAAACAAAUAAUAUAUAUGUAUUAUAUAUAUAUUUAGAAUCAAGCGAUUGAAACACAUACAUACCGUAGAGAUAAUACAAAUGAGAAAAUGAGGAAGAGAGAAAGAGAGAAAGAGAGAAAGAGAGAAAGAAAGAAAGAGAGAAAGAGAGAGAGAGAGAGAGAAAGAGAAAGAGAGAGAUAAAAAGAGAUCUUAAAAGUUCAAGUAAGUUCAAUUUUAUGCCAGAUGCAUUUGAGAGAAACAAAAUCGUCGUAAUUCCUUUUUUAUUUUUAUUUAUUUUAUUUUUUUUUUUUUUUUCAUUUUAUCGAAUGUUUCGCCAUUGAAAAAAGUCAAUUUACAAAGGGUUGACGGAGUUAAUUGUGCCGAAAGUUUAACAAAUGAUUCAAGACUGAAAGUUCGGGAACGAUAGAUUUUCGUUCAAUGCUCCUCGCUUUCCUCGCGAUCAUUGUUAUUCGAUGCAGACAACAUCCGUCGCCCUAAUUUUUUUUUUAACGUCGAUAAUUAUCGUUUACAAACAGGAUUGGGUACAUAUUUUAAAUUAGACAAUUUUAUCGAAUAAAGUUUUCGGUUCUAUAGCUAUUUUGUAAUAGUUAUACAAAAAAGAAAAAUAAUAAAAUAUACGAAUGUCUGAACGACUUAUGCAAGUGAAUUGAAAAGAAAACUCGAUUUUAUACAAUAAAUUUAUCAUUAAAAUUUAUUCGGAAUAUAUGAAAGGUAAUAUAAUAUAAUUUCGUGUUACAUCGGUUAUUAGAAGUGUUCGUGAAAAGAAAAGGAGAAAGAAAAGAGGAAAUAAGCAAAGUAGAAAGAAAAUGAAAUGUUUAAAAUACGUGCUCAUCCUGUUUAACACUCCUGCCCCCCCCCCAAAAAAAAAAACGUGUGGAAAUUCUUAUAAUUAUAAUACUAUAUUACCGAGACUGUCUCGUCUUGUUGUACAGAAAAGGAAAUUGUAAAAAAAUGGGACCGAAAUAUAUUUUACAUUUAUAGCUUUGGUCAUUGUCGUGAAGAUCACCGCAGUGCACCACAAUGCCUUUCAACGAUAAAAAAAAUAUUUACGCUGAGACUAUAAAUUUUUGCUUGUAGAUUUAAACAAAAAUCACACGAUUUAGGACUGUCAAUAUUCAAAUUUUCGUGUUCGAUUCGCGAUAACGCGAACAUACUGAAGUGUCUAGUGUUUAUUUGUAAUAUAACAAACGCAUACAAAUACACAUAUACACAUAUAUACAUACACACACAGAGAAAAUAUACAUUAUUACACACAAACAUAAAUAUACAUACGAAAAUAUAUACAUAUACAUAUAUGUAUAUCUUAUUUAUAAUACAAUUCAACGUUACUUUACAAAUAUGGGAAUGUAAAUCAUAAAGAGCUUGAUAUAUUCGGAAUUAUGGUGCCUGACAGACAAGUACGAUUGAGUUUUAAAGAAUACUUUUAUAUAUUCUGAGAAGAGAAGAUACGUGAUACGUUAUUAAAAAUUCGUUGAUCGCCCAAGUUGAACGACGCGAUGUUUCGAUUGCUUGCGUAAGUCUUUCGGAUAUAUGUAUAGAAAAAGUACAUGUAUUCGAAUAUUCCGAAUGACAAAUGAUUUUGACUUUUGGCAGGCCUAUUGUAAAUGUAAAUGGCAUGGAAUUCAACGACGCCUGUUGCAGACUCAGGAAAAUAAUCGUUUUUCCAAAUAUUUACAUCGAGCCUGUAACAUAGGGGCCAUAUUUUCACAAAGAACAAGGUACUAAAUUUGCAAUUUGAUUUACGAUGGUAGCCAAAUCUCCACCGUGCUGCUAUCCUUGCCAAGAAAAGUAGAGUCUGAUUGGUAUAAAAUCGUUAGUUAAAAACAGUAUAUGUGCGUGUAGUCCGCUUUGGAGAUAAAGUAAAUAAUAACGUGCUAUUUAGCAUUUGAAUCUAUUGUAUCAUUUUUUAUAAUCUAUCGUUUAUGAGAUGAAUGAAGCUUUUAUAAAAGGCAAAAGGCACAAAUAUGUUAUGCAAUAUAGUAAAUCUUAUUAAAGUAAUUCCAUUGCAUAAAAUACUGAAGAAUGUAAUUAUAGACAUACAUUUAAAAAAAUUAAAGAGCCAUUCUUUAUAACUAUUACCGAAUAAUUUAAAUUAAUUAAAAGUUUUAUUUAAAAUGCAAGAUUACGAAUUAAUACAACAUGUUGAAAGGACUAGUUUCAUUUAUAUUUAACGUAUUAGCGCUGGAUUUACAUAAAUUUCGGAGAAAUUUAAUUUUUAUCAAUUAAAUAUGAGAGCGUGAAAGCAUAUGAGUGUGCAUGCAACAAAGAAAAAAAAAAGGAAAAAAAAACCUUGAUUAUUAUGAACAAAAUUACAUGUUAUGGAAGUAAGUGCAGUGAUAGUUAUUUAAUGUAAGUUGCAUCUAACAAUAUACAUAAAUAUAUAUAAAUAACCAUUACUCACUCGAUAAAAUAAUAUAGCAAGAUAUUUUGUGAGUGUGUCUAUAAACUCGAUUAAACUUAUAUGAUAAACUGACGUUGUCUUGAUUUACGAGAAGAAUAUAUGUAUUUGUUUCGAUAGAGAAAGGAAUUUUAUAAAGGUGUUGUAUAUGUGAGUGUCAUCAUUUAUGAAAGCGCCUUAUUCAGCGAGUUUCGUACAAAUUUCAAGAAAAAACAUCUCCAUCAUUUCAAUCAUUUUCGAAUGUUGCAGGGAUCUAUCAGGUUACGUGUAGCGCAUGGCAGAUAUAUUUGUUCGUUAACUAUAAAUAUUGUACUUUUUCCAAUUAUAUUCUCAUUAAUAUUAAUUUUCUAUCUGCCUUCUAUAGAUUAGAAAAAAUAUAAUAAGCAUUUUUACUUAGAACUUUUUCCUUGUAUUAAAUGAUACUUGACUGAGCCACCUUUAUAGAAACCUUUCUUACGAGAGGACAUCGUAAUUUUAGUAAGCAAAUAAUAUUUAAGUUACGCGUUAAUAUAUUUUUUAGCGCAGUCUGUCUAAAAGAAAAAUAAAAAAAAAAAAAAAAGAAAAAAAAAAAAAGAAAAACUGUCAUAAAAAAAAUUUUAUCGAAACGUUUUGAGAAACACGUUAUGUCUUGUAAAAUAUACCCACACUCAUAAUUUUUAACAGAUCAAUUGAAUUAGAAAGUGCAAUCACUUAUUGUAAUAAACAAUCGAUAAGUUUUAAAAUAAUACCUACAUACGUUAUAUUUUAAAGUUUUAAAAUGUAUUACAUUAUUAAAAGUAUAUUAUCUUCUUA